rnacentral:rRNA from 1 species
GAUGAACGCUGGCGGCGUGCCUAAUACAUGCAAGUCGAGCGAACAGACGAGGAGCUUGCUCCUCUGACGUUAGCGGCGGACGGGUGAGUAACACGUGGAUAACCUACCUAUAAGACUGGGAUAACUUCGGGAAACCGGAGCUAAUACCGGAUAAUAUAUUGAACCGCAUGGUUCAAUAGUGAAAGACGGUUUUGCUGUCACUUAUAGAUGGAUCCGCGCCGCAUUAGCUAGUUGGUAAGGUAACGGCUUACCAAGGCGACGAUGCGUAGCCGACCUGAGAGGGUGAUGGGCCACACGAGAUCUAAGACACGGUCAAGAAGAAUAGGGGAAACGACAGACGGGGGAAUUGUGAGAAGGGCGUAAGCCUAAUGGAACAAAGGAGGGAGAGUAGAGAAAGUAUACAGAUACUAACACACUUUGUGAAGGGAAUAACAAAGGGAACAAUUACUAUUCACGUCUUGGGGGGAACGAAACAGAAGAACACGACUAACAACAUG